rnacentral:lncRNA from 1 species
CGCGUAGGAGAGCUGAACUGCUGGGUCCUGCCGUCAGUGCCGUUUCUUGGCAGCACGUUGGGGACACUGCGCCAUUAGAACAGACAGAAUGUUAAAGGAACAGCCUCCUUCGAGGGCAUCUGCAUAAUGCCUGCCGUUUACAGAUGAGGAAGUUGAGGCCCAAAGAGUUCUCUGUAAAAGGGUGGCCUAUCUUGCACGGGAUAGAAGACGAGGAAGAGAUUCUCAGUCAAAGCUGCAUGGUUUCCUCAAACUGUUUCAUACAGGAACAACGUGUGAAAUGA